CUUUUCUUCACAGCAAUAACACUGCGAGGAAGCCGUGGUAGAGAUAAAGACUCUCCUUUAUGGCACAGAAGACAUGGAAUGAUGAGAAUGAGUUUGAGACUCAGCUGUAGUCAUUCAGGGCUUUGUGAGUUGGUGUAAGCCAUCUCUCAGGUUGAGCCAUGUAUAAUGUAUAAUGUGCAUGUAUAAUGUCAAGCUUACAAUUUUAUUAAAGGGGUAAAUGAGAUAAAUAAUAAGGUACAUGGUGCUUUUCUUUCUAUAACUUGGAUCCCAAUUAUACUGAAUAAAUCUGAAUUCUCUGGAGUUGUUUUCAUCCUUGUGCUCAGUCCCCUUACAUAUAUUGUUCCUGCAGCCUCAAAGUCCUUUCCCUGCUUAACCUGCUAAUAACAGGACCAAGUAGAUUGUGAAUGAACUGUCAGUUUUUGGUGGACAGAGGGAGAUUACCAAAAGUUCUAAAAAAGUCUUCAAAAGGUCUCCUCUAUUCUGUUUCUUUCACACAUUCGUGAAAUCCUGAAAGCAGCUGGUAGAGAUUUUUGUCAAGAAAUAAUUGGAUCUUUAUCAUCUUAUCGUUAAUAAGUUUGGUUCUCUUAUCACAAUAUUUUAAUUAACAUUUAAAAAUCCUCAUUACACAAUACUUUAAAUUGUAACUGAAAUCGUCUAUGUGGAGUGCCUCUGCCAUUUAAGGGUAAAUGUAAGAACUGGAAAAAUCAUUUGAGUUUCUAAUUGAAAAAUAAUCGGGUUUAAAAUGAGCAAAUUAUAAUAAUCAUUAGUGUGAUAAAACAGAGAUUUAUGCUGAAUUUGCAAUUACAGAUAAAAAAGUAUAAUAUCAAGAUUGUGCUUAAGAACAACUUUCACGUUCAAUGCUUGUGUUUUGCAGGCCCCCCAACCAUAACUUAGGAAAGAAUGUGAGAGAUCAGACAGCAAAAGAGGACCAUGUGGAUUACUGUAAAAUGUUACCAUCCAGAAAAACCCAAAGGGUAAAGUUAUCCAAGAGGGAUGCGGUCCCUGCACCUCUGCCUCUCUUCCGUCCCAGCUGAAGCAGAUUGCAUUUCCAACCAAAAGCUGGAAGGCAAGGGGGUGCACCUGAGGCAGUUCAUGGAGAACAGCCUCUCUGGACAAAAAACAAGAUGGGGAAGAUUCAGGUCUAUCCGAGAGGCAAUGAAAGCAUCACCAGCACAGUAG
rnacentral:lncRNA from 1 species